UACAGAGGGUGCGAGCGUUAAUCGGAAUUACUGGGCGUAAAGCGCGCGUAGGCGGCUUUGCAAGUCGGGUGUGAAAUCCCCAGGCUUAACCUGGGAACUGCAUUCGAGACUGCAUUGCUAGAGUAUGGGAGAGGGAAGUGGAAUUUCCGGUGUAGCGGUGAAAUGCGUAGAUAUCGGGAGGAACACCGGUGGCGAAGGCGG
rnacentral:rRNA from 1 species